GGGGAUGUAAAGGUUUCGACGGGGAGCCGGAAUCCGGAUAAGCGGGCAGAGGUGCGGUACCUCUAUAAAAGCCGUAGUUUUAAAUAUAAACGCUAACACUAAUAAAGUAGCUCUCGCUGCCUGAGUGCGCGAGCGUCCCUUCACGGAGGACCACGGCCGUGAUGCGGGCGUGACACAGUGGUAAAUGUGCGCCGCCUGUUUUCUUUUGAAGCGGCCAUAAAGAAAAAAGAUACCCAAGUCAAAAGCCUGCGCGCCGGCGCUUGACGAGGGGAAAUUCAGUUGACGCGAUACGCCCGUAGAAAGUCCCGAGGAUGACUUUUCGGACAGGGGUUCGAUUCCCCUCAUCUCCAU
rnacentral:tmRNA from 1 species